rnacentral:rRNA from 1 species
GACGAACGCUGGCGGCGUGCCUAAUACAUGCAAGUAGGACGCAGUUGCGAACGGGUGAGUAACGCGUAGGUAACUACCUAUUAGAGGGGGAUAACUAUUGGAAACGAUAGCUAAUACCGCAUACUAGUAGAUGGACCUGCGUUGUAUUAGGUAGUAGGUAGGGUAAUGGCCUACCUAGGCAAAGAUACAUAGCCGACCCGGAGGGGUUAUCGGCCAAACUGGUACUGAGGAACGGGCCAGACUCCUGCGGGGGGCCGCAGUAGGGAAUCUUCGGCAAUGGGGGGAACCCUGACCGAGCAACGCCGCGUGAGUGAAGAAGGUUUUCGGAUCGUAAAGCUCUGUUGUUAAGGAAGCGGUACUUAACCAGAAAGGGACGGCUAACUACGUGCCAGCCGCCGCGGUAAUUC